rnacentral:rRNA from 1 species
UACGAAGGGGGCUAGCGUUGCUCGGAAUUACUGGGCGUAAAGGGCGCGUAGGCGGACAGCUUAGUCAGAGGUGAAAGCCCAGGGCUCAACCUUGGAAUAGCCUUUGAUACUGGCUGUCUUGAGUUCGGGAGAGGUGAGUGGAAUGCCGAGUGUAGAGGUGAAAUUCGUAGAUAUUCGGCGGAACACCAGUGGCGAAGGCGGCUCACUGGCCCGAUACUGACGCUGAGGCGCGAAAGUGUGGGGAGCGAACAGG